rnacentral:lncRNA from 1 species
CCCUGGGCUGGCCCUUGGCUGGGACCCAGAGAGUGGUUUCGGGUCUCCGAAUCUCAAGACUGCCCCAGCCGCGAAAGCCAGGACUAGGAGAUUCCGAUGCCAUAUGAAAGCCUGCCCUGUCGCGCAUGCCCCUUGCCUUCUUCUGCGUGGGACACGGAUGAAUGGCAAAGUCUUCAUUGAGGCUCUAUGGCCCACUAGUGGGAACGUCAGUGGCGAAACAUGGUGGACGUGUCACCUGGUGACCCAGGCCGGUCCUGAAGGGAGCCAUCAUGGCCUAUUCCAAGCCCUCUAGAUCUGAAGGUAUUUCUGCUCCUUGUCCAGUGGCAGCCAACCUUUCACAAGAACGUGUCUCCUUCCUGAGCAGCCACUGGCCCUUCCCUGCCCAGCGAUGGAGGCCUCAGACAGCCCCCCAACCUCCCCCUUGAACCAACCGGGGCACUCUCCCUGGCAACUCCCAGGAAUCCACGUCACUAUCGCUGAACAGAACAACCACAAGAACCUGAUCCGAGGACAAGUCACACUGAAGAGGACCAGGACCAGGUCAUCUGGCAGCCAAGAGGGGAGCGUGAGUCAGAAACAAACUACCCACCUGCCAGCUAGGUCACUCUCCAGCCCAAGAGAGCUCAAGGUUGGGAGUCAGAGGGCUGCAGAACCAAGGGUUGGGUGAUUCCCCUCC